rnacentral:rRNA from 1 species
GAUGAACGCUGGCGGCGUGCCUAAUACAUGCAAGUCGAGCGAACAGACGAGGAGCUUGCUCCUCUGACGUUAGCGGCGGACGGGUGAGUAACACGUGGAUAACCUACCUAUAAGACUGGGAUAACUUCGGGAAACCGGAGCUAACACCGGAUAAUAUAUUGAACCGCAUGGUUCAAUAGUGAAAGACGGUUUUGCUGUCACUUAUAGAUGGAUCCGCGCCGCAUUAGCUAGUUGGUAAGGUAACGGCUUACCAAGGCAACGAUGCGUAGCCGACCUGAGAGGGGGAUCGGCCACACGGGAACGUAGACACGGACCAUAGUCCUACGGGAGGCAGCAGUAGGGAAUCUGCCGCAAUGGGCGAGAGCCUUACGGAGCGACGCCGCGUGAGUGAUAAAGGUCUUCGGAGCGUAAAACUCUGUUAUUAGGGAAGAACAAAUGUGUAAGUAACUAUACACGUCUUGACGGUAACUAAUCAGAAAGCCACGGCUAACUACGUG